GGCCUAAGCUAGGGAGAAAAUCCAAGGCCCCCUUAGCCCCUCUGCAUGCAGCCCUCAGGGUGUUCGGACAGGCCCCUCCUUUGGGGCUCCCCAGAACCCCAUGAGCUAAAUCAAGCUCACUGGUGUUAUCAGUUCAUUUUAUAGACAUAAGCUGGGACUCAGGGCAGUUCAAGGAUUUGUUCAGGUAACAGAACCCGUAAGUGGGAGAGGCAGUCUCAAUCUAAGCGGCUUCACCUGCUUAGUGGGUGACGGUGUCUGCAGGUGGUAUAUCCUGUAAGGGUUAUACCUUUAUGUCCAAAAUAUACAAAGAACUCAGACAACUCAACAUAAAAAAAAAAAUACCCACAGAAGACUUGACUAGACAUUUUCCCAGAGAAGAUAUAUAGAUGGACAACAGGCACAUGAAGAGAUGCUCGGCAUCACGAAUCAUCAGGGAAAUGCUUCAAACCCACAAUGAGGUGUCACCUCACACCUGUCAGAAUGACUGUCCUCAGAGACAACAAACAACAGCUUUGUUGGUGAGGAUGCAGAGAAAAGGUUCACACCCUGGAGCAUCGUUAGUGGGGAUGUGAAUUGGUGUGGGCACUGGCAAAAGUAUGGAGGUGACAGAAAGAAUCACCGCUCAUUUCGGCCAAUCCCACUCCUGGGUGUGCACCUGAAUGCAAAUUCACUAGUUGAAAAGACAUAUUUCAAAAGACAUAUGCACCCUUCCACUCACUGCAGCAUUAUUCACGAUAGUCAAGAUAUGGAAGCAACCUAAGUGUCCAUCAACAGAUGAAGGGAUAAAGAAGUGUACGGCUAUACAAUGGAAUGCUACGAAGCCAUAAACACGACUUCUGUAGUGGUCCAGUUGUUUAGAUGCUGUACUCCCAAUGCAAGAGGCCCGGGUUCGAUCCCUAGUCAGGGAAUUAGGUCCCAUGUGCUGCAACUAAUUAAAUAAAUAUUUUUUUAAAAGAACGAAAUGUUGCCAUUUCCAACAGCAGGCUGGACCUGGAGGGUAUUAUCCUACGUUAAACAAGUCAGAGAAAAACCAGUAGUGUAUGAUAUUACACAUGUGGAAUCUUAAAAAAACAAAAACAACAAAACCCAAAUGAGCAAACAUGAAACAGAAAUAGAGUUGUAGAUACAGAGAACCCACAGGUGGCUAGCAGAGGACAGCGCUGCAUGGAGGCUGUGCACAGGUGGCUAGCAGAGGACAGCGCUGCAUGGAGGCUGUGCACAGGUGGCUAGCAGAGGACAGCGCUGCAUGGAGGCUGUGCACAGGUGGCUAGCAGAGGACAGUGCUGCAUGGAGGCUGUGCACAGGUGGCUAGCAGAGGACAGUGCUGCAUGGAGGCUGUGCACAGGUGGCUAGCAGAGGACAGUGCUGCAUGGAGGCUGUGCACAGGUGGCUAGCAGAGGACAGUGCUGCAUGGAGGCUGUGCGGUGCACUGAGCACGAGGCUGUGGUGUGCAGUGCGCUCAGUACAAGGAGCGCGGCGGCAGGUCACGUAGAGAAGUUGGUAACACAGCAAGGUCUGGGGCUCCCUGGUGCUCAGUGGUAAGGAAUUCACCUGCCAGUGCAGGAGACACAGGCUCAAUCCCCAAUCCGGGAGGAUCCCACAUGCAGUGGGGCAACCAAGCCCGUGCAUCAACUGCUGAGGCCCAGAGCCCACGCUCUGCAACAAGAGGACCCGCCGCAGUGAGAAGCUGAGCCCAACAACUGGCGCAUAGCCCCACUCUCCCCCACCAGAAAAAAGUCUGCACAGCAACGACGACCCAGCACAGCCAAAAAUAAAUCUUAAACAGAAUGAAGUCUCGAGUGCCCAUCACGAGGAUCCAUCAGUCCCGGCGCUCCCACCCCCAGCAGCAGAUGGCGAGUGUCUCCAACAUCGAGGCGUGGAGGCCCAGCAGAACCUGAACAGGCUGGGAAGGGCGGCGGGGGCAGGCGCGGCCCUGUCCUGCCCCGCGGGUGCUGGCACCCUCCAGGAGAGCAGAGGCCAGGAGAGGGUCUGCUCCUGCCCAGGACGUGGCUGCUCGUCUGAUGGGGGCCAGGGGAGCGGACGUCUGUCCUGACAAAGGAUGAAGCCAUAAAUGCCGCAGAGACAGACGGAUGGAUAGAGCCCCCAGCUCCCCACACCCGGCAGCGCAUCCACUUGCCGAGUGCAGGGACCGUGUGGCCCCGUGCUCCUUGCAGUCCCCAGCCCUCACUGCUGGGGCUCGACGGGCAGAUGGAGGGCUGUCUCUUCCUGCCCUGCCCCAACCUGAGCCCAGAGCCCAUCUGAUGGGGGUCUUUUCCAGCAUCCCUUCUCUCUGUGCCUUUGGUUCCUCUUUCCUUAGGAAACAAAACCUCAAGUCUCUCCUAUUAAAAUGAAACAAAGUAAAGCAAAGUAAAA